UGGGGCGUGGCCGAGUGGUAAGGCAACGGGUUUUGGUCCCGGCGGUCGAAGGUUCGAAUCCUUUCGUCCCAG
rnacentral:tRNA from 1 species